CACAAAAGGAAACACGAAGCCGUCCACUGGACAGCGAGAUGAAUGCAUGCAUGGCCUGAAGGGUCGCAGAGGUGAGUGAGCUCAUCGGAGGUUGACAGAAGAGAGUGAGCACCCAUGGUGUUUUCUUGCAUGGAAAGGGAGAGACAGAGUCCAUGCUCCAAAGCUAUGCGUGCUCGCUCCUCUAUCUGUCAGCCACCACCGGUCGAUGCCGUCUUCCGGUUGUACUUUCCUUGCUACUAACCCUACACCUUGAUUCAUUAUUUGACUUGCAAUGAAGAACAGAUGGCCGAAGAUCACUGGAACUGUUCUUUUCUUACUGCAACAUUUUGAGCAGUACUACGAUGGGCUUUAUGAUUCUUAGAAGUUGAUCGGUUCUGUCUCAAAUCAAGCUUGGUUGGGAUCAGGAUUUUUAUGAUCAACCCACUCAGAUUCUAUGCGAUCUAUUGUCUCGAACUUAUCUUUGACAUCAAAGACCGCUGUUUUCAUCUUCAAGCCUAACUAAGCCCUGUUGAGUUUUGUGUAUGUCUAAGAAAACUAGCAAUAGAAGAAACCACCUGGCGACCUUUUGAUGACAAAAUAGUCGUCUUGGUAGCUAAAUCUUUCCAUCUUUUUUUUUUCCAUCAUAUUUGUUGGGGUUGAAAAUUUGAAGCCUAUUUCUUGGUCAAACUGGACAGUCUCCGUAGCGGUUGACUUUUGAGAUUCCAAGUCAAAUCCUGUUGACAAUAAAUAAAACCACAAGGACAACACACAAAACCUGUGUGCUACGGGACAGGACACAGAUUUUUGGAUUAGGUCUGGGCUUGAGAGAAGAAAAGGAAGAAGAAGAAGAAAAAGUGGUAUAUCCAUCCAAUUCCCCCAUUUCCUCUAUCGUUUUCAUCCUGUUGGAAGCCAAGCAUCUGAAAACGGGCAGCAGAUGGUGGAAGGCGAUUCAAAGGUGACGCCUUUCUUCUCUCUCCAUUUAUAGAAGAGAAAAUUCCGACGAGUUCUUAUCGAGCUUCUCAGUUCGUGGUCGGGUGCUUGCCAGUGGAUGCAACAGCGCAGGCGGCGGGUUCUUCUUCUUCUUCUUCUUCUUCUUCUUCUUUGCGUGAGGAGUCGGCUGAUUGCGUUGGUCGAUAGGGCGGCGGGAGACAGAUGGAGUUGCUGGUAAGGAGGAGAACUCUUGCUCUCUCUCUUUCUCUCUCUCUGCUUCUCGUCCUCGUUCUUCUGCAGAAGAAGUUGAAAUCGGAAGGAACGCAUGCGAAUGAGACAAUGGUUUCCCCUUAUCAAAGAAUAAGAAUGCUACAGAACAACGAGCAGUCGGACGCGUAAGAACGGAGAUGAAGAAGAGGAAAACAGAGGAAUCGAAGAUUGAAGGCCGGAAGCGAGAUCGCGCAGAUUGAGGUUGUCUUGCGGCUUGUUGAUGCUCAUUCGUCGCUCACCGAUGCCGUUCCCCUUCCUCCUCUUCGGGAUCGAGAUCGACAUCGAGAUGCACGGAGCAAAGAACCUAAACAGCGUUAACGCUAUACCACAAAGGGGAGGGUCGAGGGAAAGAAGACUCAGAUGGGAGAUAUUUAUAGCAUAUAACGUUUGAAAUUAACGGUAUACGUCUCGACAGCGUAUAACGUGCAUGCCGAAAGUUUUAUUUGCUGUAACAUAUAUCAGUGCGUCACAAGCACGUGCUGUUCACGUUAAAAUGCACGUACAUGGAGUUCAUUCAA